rnacentral:rRNA from 1 species
UACGUAGGGGGCAAGCGUUGUCCGGAAUCAUUGGGCGUAAAGCGCGUGUAGGCGGCUCGGUAAGUCCGCUCUGAAAGCCCGGGGCUCAACCCCGGGAGGCGGGUGGAUACUGCUGAGCUCGAGUCCGGAAGAGGAGUGUGGAAUUCCUGGUGUAGCGGUGAAAUGCGUAGAGAUCGGGAGGAACACCAGAGGCGAAGGCGGCGACCUGGACAGGUACUGACACUCAACUACGAAAGCGUGGGGAGCAAACAGG